GACGAACGCUGGCGGCGUGCUUAACACAUGCAAGUCGAGCGGUAAGGCCCUUUCGGGGGUACACGAGCGGCGAACGGGUGAGUAACACGUGGGUGACCUGCCUUUAGCUCUGGGAUAAGCCUGGGAAACCGGGUCUAAUACCGGAUAUGACUCCGCGGCGCAUGUUGUGGGGUGGAAAGCCUUGUGCGGCUGGAGAUGGGCCCGCGGCCUAUCAGCUUGUUGGUGGGGUGAUGGCCUACCAAGGCGACGACGGGUAGCCGGCCUGAGAGGGCGACCGGCCACACUGGGACUGAGACACGGCCCAGACUCCUACGGGAGGCAGCAGUGGGGAAUCUUGCGCAAUGGGCGAAAGCCUGACGCAGCGACG
rnacentral:rRNA from 1 species